UGAGCUGUGGAGUCUCUAGGCUGGGAGGCAGGGCACAGAUGGGGUAGCCCAGAGCCAGCCCCAGGCUGGUUACCUGUGAGGCAGCAUCCAGUGUGCUCCUGGGACACCAGGCAGAUGUUUUUUGGAGCUGGCACCAAACUCUUCGUGGAGCCCCAAAGGCAGCCUCCUGCCAAACCAUCCGUUUUCAUCAUGAAAAAUGGGACAAAUGUUGCUUGUCUGGUGAAGGAUUUCUACCCCAAGGAUGUAAAUAUAAAUAUCAACUCAUCCAAGAAAAUAAUAGAAUUUGACCCAGCUGUUGUCGUGUCUCCCAGUGGGAAGUACAAUGCUGUCAAGCUCGGUCGGUAUGAAGAUCCAAACUCAGUGACAUGCUCAGUUCAACAUAACAAUGAAAUUUUGCACUCCACUGACUUUGAACCAAAGACAAAUUCUUCAAGUAAGCUAAAACCAAAGGAGCCUGAAAGCACAAAGCAAACUUCAGGGAUCUGCCGUGAACCCAAAGUUCAUGCCGAAAAGGUGAACAUGCUGUCUCUCUCAGUGCUGGGGUUCCGGAUGCUGUUUGCCAAGAGUGUGGCCAUAAAUUUUCUUUUGACUGCCAAGUUAUUUUUCUUUUAAGGCCAUCUAGCAGGAGAACGCUACACUCCCUGAAAGAAAUCAAGAACCCACAGAGGUGCUACCUGCUAGGCUUCUGACUUCUCGGCAAUUCAAUUUAACCUGUCCCACCUUUACUUAAAUGGCUGCUACCCAAACCAGUUUUCCUUUGAAAGCAACUAUCACAGAUCACCCUUCAGCCUGGUGAAAAGACCAAAGUCCCAGGAGUGGGGGUUAUGGUCUUAACUGCUUUAUAUGCUGCUUUAUAAAAGGACAUAGGACUCAUUUUUUAUUUCCACAACUGAUGGACUUUGAAAAUGAUAUUUUGUUCCUUUGACUUUCUUUGCCUCCAGAAGAAGAAAGUGGGAGCCAAGAGAAUCCCAGCUCCAUUUUCCAAGAGGAAAAUCGGCCCUGGGGGGAGGAGAGCAGGUGCCCUUUACCUAAACAUGGAAGGCUCUGCUCAACCCAGCACUAGAUUUGCCCCAAACUGGCAUUCUCACCCAGUUUCUGCUUUUCCUAAUACUUUACAAACAAAAUUACAUUUGACUUCCUGGAUACUCUCUGUGCAGGCAGCAGGGUUUCUACAGUCUCAUCUAAAUACUCCCCAAGCUAUUCACAGAGAUCAGAGUAAAAUACAGAGGAAAUGCACUUUUUUAUUAAUUGACUUAACACAAAUCAACUCCUUUUAAGCUCCAGGCUGUGCACUGAAGGUGCAAAUGUGCAUGAGACAUGGUCUUGUUCUCAAGUAGCCCACCAUACCAGGGGUUUGGGAGGGAGGGAGAGGAAUGAGCCCCUGAAGUUGCUCUGUAAAAACAGCUUAUUUACUGUCUUUUGCCUGCAAUUUGUGCAUGGGGAGUUUGAGGUCACUGAACCCUGACUCUUGCCUGGCCCUUGGUGUCGAUGGUUUCCUGCCAUUCCCUGAAAUGGUCUCUGUUGCAUUUAUUAAAGUGCAUUGUGUGUCACUUGCCUCUGGUUUGACUCAUAGUGGACCACCACAGGGGGAGAGUAGGCGCCGUGAACUGUUAGGCAAAAGCCACGCUGAGCUUGUAGGUCACACCGCAGCUUCCUGCGCCCCAAGCCUGCAGGUUCCUGCCUUAGGGACCCAGCCCCAGGUUUCCUGCUGCUGCUGUUACAGCAAGACAACAGCAGUGUCCCUGGAGGAGCUGUGUCCCCAGUGCUGCUGCUUCCCUGGCGUCGCUGCAUUGCCGGCGUGGCUGCGUUCCCGGCAUGGAAACGUCACCUGCGUGGCUGAAAAGCUCCGUCACUCCCACCCCAGCAAGGCCACGGUGUUUUCCAGAUGCACCCACUCAGGUAACAGAGCCCUGGAACUCGGUGUGGUUUCCUCUGCACCUACGUGCGCUGUCAAGGGGCCUCAUGAGGUUGCAGGUGGAAAAGCAAUGCUCCCCAGCAACUGCCUCUGCCACUGCCAUCUGCAGGCCUCACACUGUGACUUUGCAGCUCCUUUCUUUGCAAAGGAAGGCAUCAGCAGCACUCUGAGUCGAUGGGUUUAGGAUAAUCUAGACAGAUAAGGCAGGUCCAUCCAGCCUCCCCACAACUUCACCUUUUAUGUAUAAAGAAGGCCUUUUCCAAAACGUUCACAUACCUUACCUUGGGUAACAUGAGGAUGUUCCUGAGAAGUGGCUAAGAACAAAUAGAUCACAUUUUCAUUUUCCAGAUGGAAUAAUAUAUGUCCCCCCAAAAAAGUUACAUACCUUGUCCAAAGUGACUCAGUGAGGUAGGGACAUUGCUGUGAGCAGAGCCAAGUAAUCAAGAAUGCCAGCAGAGGACAUAUUAGGGCCCUG